rnacentral:rRNA from 1 species
AGAGUUUGAUCCUGGCUCAGGACGAACGCUGGCGGCGUGCUUAACACAUGCAAGUCGAACGAGAAUCUAUGGAUCGAGGAUUCGUCCAAGUGAAGUAGAGGACAGUGGCGGACGGGUGAGUAACGCGUGAGGAACCUGCCUUUCAGAGGGGGACAACAGUUGGAAACGACUGCUAAUACCGCAUGACACAUAGAGAUCGCAUGGUUUUUAUGUCAAAGAUUUAUCGCUGAAAGAUGGCCUCGCGUCUGAUUAGCUAGUUGGUGAGGUAACGGCCCACCAAGGCGACGAUCAGUAGCCGGACUGAGAGGUUGAACGGCCACAUUGGGACUGAGAUACGGCCCAGACUCCUACGGGAGGCAGCAGUGGGGAAUAUUGGGCAAUGGGCGCAAGCCUGACCCAGCAACGCCGCGUGAAGGAAGAAGGCUUUCGGGUUGUAAACUUCUUUUAAGAGGGAAGAGCAGAAGACGGUACCUCUAGAAUAAGCCACGGCUAACUACGUGCCAGCAGCCGCGGUAAUACGUAGGUGGCAAGCGUUGUCCGGAUUUACUGGGUGUAAAGGGCGUGUAGCCGGGAAGGCAAGUCAGAUGUGAAAUCCACGGGCUUAACUCGUGAACUGCAUUUGAAACUGUUUUUCUUGAGUAUCGGAGAGGCAAUCGGAAUUCCUAGUGUAGCGGUGAAAUGCGUAGAUAUUAGGAGGAACACCAGUGGCGAAGGCGGAUUGCUGGACGACAACUGACGGUGAGGCGCGAAAGCGUGGGGAGCAAACAGGAUUAGAUACCCUGGUAGUCCACGCUGUAAACGAUGAAUACUAGGUGUGCGGGGACUGACCCCCUGCGUGCCGCAGUUAACACAAUAAGUAUUCCACCUGGGGAGUACGAUCGCAAGGUUGAAACUCAAAGGAAUUGACGGGGGCCCGCACAAGCGGUGGAUUAUGUGGUUUAAUUCGAAGCAACGCGAAGAACCUUACCAGGGCUUGACAUCCUACUAACGAGAUAGAGAUAUGUUAGGUGCCCUUCGGGGAAAGUAGAGACAGGUGGUGCAUGGUUGUCGUCAGCUCGUGUCGUGAGAUGUUGGGUUAAG